rnacentral:rRNA from 1 species
CCUACGGGUGGCAGCAGUGAGGAAUAUUGGUCAAUGGGCGGAAGCCUGAACCAGCCAAGUAGCGUGCAGGAUGACGGCCCUACGGGUUGUAAACUGCUUUUAUACGGGAAUAACGCGCCUUACGUGUACGUCUUUGCAUGUACCGUAUGAAUAAGGACCGGCUAAUUCCGUGCCAGCAGCCGCGGUAAUACGGAAGUUCCGGGCGUUAUCCGGAUUUAUUGGGUUUAAAGGGUGCGCAGGGGGAAUGUCAAGUCAGCGGUAAAAUUUCGGGGCUCAACCCAGUAGUGCCGUUGAAACUGGCGUUCUUGAGUGAGCGAGAGGUAUGCGGAAUGCGUGGUGUAGCGGUGAAAUGCAUAGAUAUCACGCAGAACUCCGAUUGCGAAGGCAGCAUACCGGCGCUCAACUGACGCUGAUGCACGAAAGCGUGGGUAUCGAACAGGAUUAGAUACCCGGGUAGUC